rnacentral:rRNA from 1 species
GUAGUCUCGCACAGAUGCAUAUCAAUAAGCGGAGGAAAAGAAACUAACAAGGAUUCCCCUAGUAACGGCGAGUGAAGCGGGAAGAGCUCAAAUUUGAAAUCUUAAAGGGUUUCCCUUUACGAAUUGUAGUUUAAAGAAGUGUUUUCUGUUGAGGUUUUGGUAAAAGUUCUUUGGAAUAGGACAUCAUAGAGGGUGAGAAUCCCGUAUUUGACCUUUACUUUCAACUUUGUGAUACACUUUCAAAGAGUCGGAUUGUUUGGGAAUGCAGUCCAAAAUGGGUGGUAAAUUUCAUCUAAAGCUAAAUAUUGGCGAGAGACCGAUAGCGAACAAGUACCGUGAGGGAAAGAUGAAAAGAACUUUGAAAAGAGAGUUAAACAGUACGUGAAAUUGUCAAAAGGGAAGCGUUUGACACCAGUGUUGUUUUUCUGAAAAUCAAUUAAAGAACUGUUUAUGCUAAGCUGUUUAGACUUUAUCAGCUAUCUGUUUAGUUUUGAGCUUUUCUUUAAUGCACUUUUCAGUUAGCAAGUCAACAUCAAUUUCUUUUGCUGUAAAAAAGCUUGAGGAAGGUGGCUUGAGAUUCGUCUUAAGUGUUUAUAGCCUCUUGCCUAUGCAGUCGGAGAGAUUGAGGUCUGCAGCGUAGAUCCUUCGGGGCUAAAUGCAUUUGUGCUAAGUUAUAGCAUUUUACAGACAACUUGUUGACUAUGAUUUGUCUUGUAGCAUUACUCGCUUAUGUUAUUUUACCUACGCUUAGGAUGUUGACGCAUGAGAUAUACGC